UACAACAUUAUAGUUCAAUCCUACAAAAUAUGUAUGUUACAUCGUGUAUUUCUGUUUCCUUUAACAGGGGAAUAUCGUUACGAGCACCAUGGAAUCUGGAACUCUUCGACGUUUGAUAAACAAAAUGACCCAACACAGCAACGCAGAAAAUAGACAAAUUGAUUAACAACACCAAAACAAUCUAAAAGACCCAACACAGCAAACGGAUGGAUUGGCGAUUGAACAGUAGAACGAAAACAAUUGUAAAAGAUCUAAAUACAAUCCAAGGAUACAACAAUCGGACGAACCUAUUAAUGGAAUUUGAUUCGUACUAGGUUAUGUUGCUGAUUCCAUCUCCUCUAAUCCGCUGUAUUCGGCAUUAAUUCCAAAAAGAAUCUUGUGCAAUAGUCCAACAUAUAUUGCACACUGUUAUGAAAUCCAUUCAUCAUGCUAUGAAUCAUCGAGAAUCAUCUUUUGUUCAUGAGUUUCAGGUUUUAGCUGCCUUCAACAUGGUCUUUCCGGGGAAAUCUCUCUUGCGGGUGGGUAUAGCGCAAUAUUGCGAGGAAAGGUAUUUCACCAUAUAUCACAAUUUUUAGAGCAUAAGUGGGUACCGUUGGGGAUUUUGUUUUUUUUUUUUCAAUAAAGUUUUCAUACAACAAA